GCAGUGGUGUUUCAGUGGUAGAAUUAUCACCUUCCAUGCGGGAGGCCCAGGUUCCAUUCCCGGUCAUUGCA
rnacentral:tRNA from 1 species